AUUGGAAUAUUUGUUUAAAAUAUUAAGUUAGUUUCUAGUGCACGUUUUAGCUGCAUUUUUUAUUUUUCAUGAAAUCUAUAAAAGAAAUUCCACCAACUAGUACCAUAGUAAAUCAAAACUACUGUUAAUAGCCAGUGUAAGCAUAUUUUGUUUGUUCAAAUCAUUGUAUUUUAAUUAUGACAUCUUCCUCUGGAAAAUAAGUUGCAAAUCCCAUUUUAAUAUGAAUAUCCAUAAUUAUUGUUUCAAUAGUUAUGAAAUAAUUAUAAAUUUGGUAUGAACAAAA
rnacentral:lncRNA from 1 species